CCGGGGCGGUGCGGAGGGCCGGGGCAGCGCGGCGAGCCUGGAGCUAAGUCGCUGGGGAGGUGGGAAAGGGCCCGGGCAUCCAGGCCUGAGGCCUGAGAGGGCAGCGGUCGGGACCCUCGGGCAAUGAGAGCAAGGUAGAGUCCAUCCGAGAGGACACGUCCGCGGUUUGCUGCAAAAAGCCCCCUUUGGCUGCUGCGUGGAGGGAGGCUCCGGAGAGCGUGGAAUCAGAGGACCUGUGGCAUCUGCCCACUACUGGCUGCGGAGCUUGGCCAUCCUGGCAUGUUUUGAUCCUCCCUCUACAACCCUCUGGGGCAGACUGUUUGCUAUGAAGGAUGCAGAGGUGAGUCUCCAACAGCUGAAGUCACAGUGACCAGAAUAGUGGCCCUUUGUGGACAGAACCUUGUCAGGGCCCCCAUCCCGGAGUCGCCUCUGUCCCCUGCUCCCAGCUGUGACUUGGGCCCAUUAUGCCACCUGAAAACUGUCUUGCCUGUUCCAUUGGGGACAAACUGAAGCUCCAGGCUCUGCAGUUGGCUCAGAAGCGGUUUCAAGAAGGAAUGUUGCUGUGAGGCUGUCCUGGGGCCUCUGCAGGAAGGAGCCCACCAGCUCCUCCUGGAGGUAGGAGGGCAGGCAGCCAGACCUCUCCCCAAAUUUGGAGGCCUGGCCCCUGGUAUCUAAAGCUGUUUCCAGAUCCUGCAGUGAUAGUGCCAUUCCUUUGAGUGGGUUUUCCCCACCAGCAUGCAUCCCCUGGUGGCCUUGUCCUUCCUGUAGCGUCCUCUGGGCCCAUCCUGAUCCCCCAGGCUCUGGGGCUUAUCAAGGACUCAUGGGCCUCACUGUGCACAGCCUGCUCUGUGCCUGUUACUGGGUGCCAUGCUGUAGAAUCCACUGCCCCCUUUCCAUAACCUUAUGAGAGAGGGAUACCAUUGGUCCUGUUUUCCAAUGAGGAACCCAGAGAGCAGAGACCUUCCCAGUGCCAACAGAAAGUGAGAGGAGGAGCAGGGGUGGACUCCUGCUGCCUGGCUACCCUCUGAAGCUAGUCUAGCUCUUGGCAUGCCUGGGGGCCAGGUACCUCCAAACCACGUCAGGCCAGAGUCUCAGCUUACUGCAACGCAAAAGAUGUGCCUUUGUGUCCAGAGUUGGUUCUUUCCGGUGGGUCCUUGGUCUCGCUGACUUCAAGAAUGAAGCCACGGAUCUUCGCGGUGUUACAGCUUUUAAAGGUGGCACGGACCCAAAGAGUGAGCAACAGCAAAAGAACAAAGCUUCCACAGCAUGAAAAUUGACCCCAGAGGGUUGCCGGCUGAUAGCUGCGGGGGGGGGGGGGGGGUGCGGGGAAGGGAAGGUGGUGGUGGUGGUGGCCAGCUUUUAUUCCCUUAUUUGUCCCCACCCACAUCCUGCUGAUUGCCCAUUUUACAGAGAGCUGAUUGGCCCAUUUUACAGAGUGCUGACUGGUCCAUUUUACAGUGCUGAUUGGUCCAUUUUACAAACCUCUAGCUAGCCACAGAGCACUGAUUGGUGCGUUUUACAAUCCUAGCUACAGAGUGCUGAUUGGUGCGUUUUACAAUCCUAGCUACAGAGUGCUGAUUGGUGCAUUUUACAAUCCUCUUGUAAGACCAAAGUUCUCUGAGUCCCCACCUGACCCAGAAAUCCAGCUGGCUUCACCUCUCACCUUCAGUGGGGGACGAAGGGGGGUGUGGUGUGAUACAACAGCUUCGUGACUUCAGCUAGUUGGUUUGCAAAGUGCCUGGGAUAGGAAGUGAGGAGCAGGCAGCAGGUGCUGGACCCAGGGAGCACAGCGGGUUCUCUUGCCUCUCUCCAAUACCCUAAUCCUGGGAAGUCUGAUUGGCUGAGGUAGCAAUGUGGUAGCAGCAGGUACAACACUCAACUAGUGCCACCUGUGUCCUGGGAACUGUUAGAAACUCUUGGUACCCUCUGUCGCAGCUCCCUGCAAUGUAGGUGCCAUCAUCACUGUACUUACAGAUGGGGAAGCAGGGGCGCCCAGUCAGGUUUGAGGGUGCAUAAGGCCCUGCCUCCCAGCCUGGGAAGCUAGGGAAAAGAGGGGCCCAUGGGCAGAUUUCUUAGGCCUGUCCUCUUUGGAAGAACGGAGAACAUUUACUAAUUACCAUUCGCUAAUUACCAUUCAGGCAAUUUCCAUAAUUGUCUCAAGAAAAGAUUUGAUCAGCCAAACUGUGAGCAGAAACAGCCUCGGCGGAGGGAAAGCCAAAGGCACAGCACGGGGUGCAGAAACCAAUGGAAACAGACCACACAGGCCACGGGGAGACCCGGAACGUCUGGGUCCAGUCUAGGCCCCUCCCCAUUCUAUAGAAAGGGAAGCUGAGGCGCAUGGAGGCCACGUGGCCCGACCCAGCUCCCAUGGAAAGUCUGUGAGCAAAACGGCAGAUUGUGCAUUGUGUGGGUUGUGCGCCACGUGGAGACAUUGGUAGCGUUGAAAUCCAUCAGGGCACAUUAUGGGGUUCGCUCUUGAAAACCCUCCCAAAGACAAUGCACCGUUCCUUGAAGCUAAUUGCUUUAGUUUGAGGUAAUAUUCGUCACAGAAACACCAGCAGUAACCUUUGGUCUUGGCAAAUUCUCCCCUCAAUCACAUAACGUAAACAGCGAUAAACGAGGGCUUUUUAAGGCUUUCUUCAUAAUGCGUUACACAUGCAUUUGUUACUGAAUCUGCGUGAGCUCCAAGCCCUGAAAUCUGAGCUCAGCUGGGAGGUGAGUGGGCUGGUCCGCCUGCGGUGGGGUCAGCGUCCCCAGGAGACACCCAGCCCAACCGGCCGGGCCCCUUCCCCCACUCCUCCUCCUCCCCUCCCUUCUCCCCACUCCUCCACCUUCUCACCAGCUUCUCUCUCUCCCCUUUCUCUCUAGCCCUUUCUUCUACUCUGUCUCCCUUUGUCUCACCCUGCAUCUCUUCUUUCUUUUUUCUGUCUUUCACUCUCUGGACCUGCUUGUGGUUCUUUUACUUUGUCAUCUUGGCCUCAGUUUCUGUGUGUCGGUGUUCUGCUCUCUGAUUUUCUCUGUAUUUCUCUCCUUGUACGAUUCUCUGUCUCUCCUUGUCUGACUGAUUCUCCCUCUUUGUCUCUUCAUCUCUCUCUCUCAUCUCUGUCUCUCCAACUGUCCCCUUACACAUACCCUGCAAAGAGCCUGGCUCCCCCUCCUCCUUCCUUUUCUACCCAGGGGAUUCAGAGGAGUAUUCACCUAGGGGUGGGGGAUUGCAGCAGUGGAGGAUGAACAAAGCAUUUGGGAGGCUCACAAGAAGGCUCAUGGUCUUUAGGUGGGGGUGGGAGAAGUCAGGGCGGGCUGCGUGGAGGUGAUGAAGUUCAUUUGAGUGAAGUCUGGGAGGAGCAAUAGGAACCGGCCACAUGGAGGUGGCAAGAACAGCAUUUCACGCAGAGGAACCAUGGACGCGCAGGCACAGGGAUGAAACCCUCUUGCUGUCUGCAUGGCCCUCACUGCACAGAGGAGUGACUGCCCCGAUCUGCUAGGCUAAGAGGAGGGCAAGGCGCAGAGAGGGCAAUGCUGCUAGAGGCAGGCCAUGAGUGGGUGACGGCAGGACCCAGCCAUCUCACCUGACCAGACCUGGGCCUUCCUCACUGAGGCAGCUCUUGUUGGCUUCCCAUCCCCAGGGAUCUCUGCAGGGACCACAGGUGGACAAACAGAAGGCUUCCAGAAAAUGGAAGGCUUUAUAGGGAGGGGAAAUGUUGCAGGACUGUGUUAAAAGUCCAUCUUCUUCCCCAGAAACCUGCCUGGUCCAUCUCAGGCAUGUCAGCCCCACCUCUCCAGGCCACAGGCCUCAGCGUGUCUGCUCCCUUCCCCACUCACCAUUGCCCACUUGGCCUCAGACUCUGCAAUUCUACCAGUCAAGCCCUCAUCCCCAUCCUGGACAGUGGCAGCUGCCGCCUCUCAGGCCCUGGCUCCCCGCACCCCCACAGCCUGUCUCCACUGUGGCCACCCAAGCCUGACCAUCCCUCCUCAGAUUAGACCCUCCAUGGCCAUCUCAGAGAGAAGCCGGCCCCACAACGUCCCAGAGACCAUACCUCUGACCCCUCCGUCACCACCGAAUGUUACCUUUUCAGAGGGGCCUCUUGUGGGCCCAAGGCCCUGCAAUUUUGCUUCACUGUGCCCCCCAACACACACAGAAUUUACUUAUUUUCUUGGGUCACUCUCCACCCCCACUUGACUGGGCUCCUAGAGCUGUGUGUUGCCUGCCCUGCCCUGGUGGGACAGUGUCCCUGAGCUGAGAACCUGACACUGGGGUGGGCACAGGAGGGGCUGCAGGCAGGGGAGCUGCAGGGUGCAGGGACAUGGUGCAGGCAUGGGGGCCCCAGGCCCUUCCAAGGGACGCUCCUGUCCCCCAGGUGCCCAGGCCCUCCAGGGAGGCACUCUCCACUUGCUGGGCUCUGCGAUUCAGACAGCGGGACCCUCAUGGGGCCCUGGCCUCACCUGUGAGCAGCAGGCUCUGGGGCUGCUCCAGGAAUGGAGCCAGAGGCCUCUGCAGGCCCUCGUGCUACUCAAAUAACAAGAACAUUGAACAUUGCAGCAGUGUAACGUAAAAGACCAGUUUCCUUCAGCACCCAUUUUAGUGAGCCUGAAAGAGAUUUCCUGACGGCCCCAGCCCAGAACCAGCCCUACGGUGGAGUGUCAGCAGAACCUCCGUGCUCCUCUCUGGCAGCUCCCUUGAGCCUUCAACCCCCUUGCCCAGUGGGGGCUAGGGAGGGGGAGUUGGGGGCAGGUCCUGCAGCCUCACUCCUGCCUUCUAAGGUCACUUCCAGGAAGCAUCUCCUCUGCGCCCUCCGACCUCCUAAACCCCCAAUCCUGAAUCUAUAUCCCCCACAUCAUGGUGAGGGCGGGUUUGUCAGGUUUUAAAAGCUUUAUUUUUUGGGCUUAGGGAUGUUUGAGUUUUCCUUUAAUUUUUCUUCUUUAAAACAUCCUCAUGCAUUACAUAUGCUUACCCACGUUUGAUAUAUUUCACAAUUAUAAAAUAGUUUUUUAAAUAAAAAGGGCACAUGAAUAACGUUAUUCAUUAAGGUUAACUAUCAGGUUAAGAUAAUUAAAGUGUUGUAAGAUCUUAACAUUAUUUACAAGGAAUAAAAAUAGUUAUUAAUGUUAGACUUUGGGAAAUAAUACAUAUUGUAAUUUCUAGAGUAAUCUCAAAAGAAAAAUGGUAUAUAAUUUUCAAACUAGUGGUGGAAAAAAUGAAAUGCUAAAAAUAAUCAAUUCAAAGGAAUAACAGAAAAGAAAUAUGGAACGGACCACAAAUAAAAAGCAGAAAAUAAGAUGGAAAAUUAAAGCCCAGCUAUACCAGUAAUUACAUUCUAUGUACAUGGGCCAAAUGCUUCCAUAAAAGACAAAUGUCAUCAGAUUGAAUUUUAAUAAUUCGAACUACAUGCUCUUUUUUGUUUAAAUGACAAACUUUAUUUUUUAAUUGACACAUUGUAAUUGUACGUAUUUAUAGGGUGCAUUUUGAUGUUUUGAUGUAUAUCUAUGUUGUAUAAUGAUCCAAUUAGGGUAGUUAAUGUAUCCAUCACCUUAUGCAUUUAUCAUUUCUUUGUGGUGAGAACAUUCAAAAGACCCCCUUCUAGCUAUUUUGGAAAAUGCAAUACUCUUUACCAUAGGCACCCUAUUAUGCAAUAGAACACCAGAACUCAUUUCUUCUCUCUAAAUGUAACUUUGUACCUGUUGACUAACCUCUCCCCAUCCUCCCCACUCUCUUCCCUCCCCAGUCUCUGGUAACCACUGUUCUACUCUCUGCUUCUAUGAUUAUCAACUUUUUUUUCCUUUUUAGAUUCCACAUAUGGGCAAGAUUAUGUGGUAUCUGUCUUUCUGUGUCUGGAGUAUUUCGGUUAACAUAAUGUCCUCCAGGUUCAUCCACGUUGCCAAGAUGACAGGACGUCCUUCUUUUUAUGGCUGAAUAGUAUUCCAUUGCAUGUAUGUACCACAUUUUCUGUAUCCAUUCAACCACUGAUGACUCUUAGAUUGACUCCAUAUCUUGGUUGUUGUUGUGAAUAAUGCUGCAAUAAAUGUGGGAGUGCAGAGA
rnacentral:lncRNA from 1 species